GACGUAGGGCGCGAGCGUUGUCCGGAAUUACUGGGCGUAAAGAGCUCGUAGGUGGUUUGUCGCGUUGUUCGUGAAAACUCACAGCUUAACUGUGGGCGUGCGGGCGAUACGGGCAGACUGGAGUACUGCAGGGGAGACUGGAAUUCCUGGUGUAGCGGUGAAAUGCGCAGAUAUCAGGAGGAACACCGGUGGCGAAGGCGGGUCUCUGGGCCGUAACUGACGCUGAGGAGCGAAAGCGUGGGGAGCGAACAGG
rnacentral:rRNA from 1 species